AUGGCGGAAAACCGAGAGCCCCGUGGGGCCGUCGAUGCUGAGCUGGACCCGUCGAUGCUGAGCUGGACCCGGUGGAGUACACCCUUCGGAAGCGGCUCCCCCACCUCCUGCCCCGGAGGCCCAAUGACAUUUAUGUCAACAUGAAGACUGACUUUAAGGCCCAGUUGGCCCGCUGCCAAAAGCUUCUAGACGGAGGGGCUCAGGGUCAGAAUUCAUGCAGUGAGAUCUACAUUCAUGGCUUGGGCCUGGCCAUCAACCGUGCCAUCAACAUUGCCCUACAGCUUCAGGCAGGCAGCUUCGGGUCCUUGCAGGUGGCUGCCAAUACCUCCACCGUGGAGCUUGUCGAUGAGCUGGAACCAGAGACUGAUACACGAGAGCCGCUGACCCGCAUCCGCAACAACUCGGCCAUCCACAUCCGGGUCUUCAGGGUUGCACCCAAGUAAUGGAAAUGAGGAUGGCCACCUUAUCCACCCACCCCCACAUAAGUAGGCUCAGAUAUGGCUCUUCUUGUACUGAGUACAGUCACGGACCUUCUACCAGAGCCACGUAAGAAAAAGCCUGUCCCCUUACAGCCCAGAGGACUCUGAACUGCGAGGGAGAGUAUUGUCUCUUGUUGGGCCCAAGCAAUGGGUCUUCCCGAGUCUUUGUGGUCUGUAACCAUUGUCCUAGACAAUAAAAACUACCAAGUUGUGUUAGUAUGCAGCCACCCCCCAAAAAAAUUA